GAGGGUAUAGCUCAGUGUAGAGCGCAUGCUUAGCAUGCAUGAGGUCCGGGGUUCAAUUCCCAGUAUCUCCA
rfam:Camelus ferus unplaced genomic scaffold scaffold399, whole genome shotgun sequence.